AUAACUGUAGCUCAUUUGGUAGAGCGAUAGACAUUGGAUCUAUUGGUAGUUGGUUCGAUUCCAACCAGUUGCG
rnacentral:tRNA from 1 species